rnacentral:rRNA from 1 species
CACGGGGGGAGCAAGCGUUGUUCGGAAUUACUGGGCGUAAAGGGCGCGUAGGCGGCCUGCUAAGUCGAACGUGAAAUCCCUGGGCUCAACCCAGGAACUGCGUCCGAGACUGGUUGGCUCGAAUCCGGGAGAGGGAUGUGGAAUUCCAGGUGUAGCGGUGAAAUGCGUAGAUAUCUGGAGGAACACCGGUGGCGAAGGCGGCAUCCUGGACCGGCAUUGACGCUGAGGCGCGAAAGCCAGGGGAGCAAACGGG